rnacentral:piRNA from 1 species
UGGUAUCUGCCACUCUACAAGGAGAGGAAC